AACAAAGUGUGACAAAUACUUUUCCCUCAGCUGGCCAACUCACUAUGUCUGAGCUGAUGUGAGAAAGUACUGCUGAGGGUAAAGCCGAAGAGCAGGCAAGUUCAGGAUGCAAGUGUGUGAACAUGUGUGACAAGCACGUUGACCAUAGUAUCAUGUUACUUUUUAUAAUAGCUAAAGAAAGGAAGAAUAUAUUCAUAUGCCCACGAAAAAGGCCAGAGAGGGUAUGUACCCAAACAAAAUGUUUUUUUAAAUUGUUUUUACAGUGGUUUUAUUAUGGGUGAUGAAGUUAUAAUUUGGGGGGGGGGUUGCUUUUCUUAAUUUUUGAAGUGUUCUGGUUGAUAAAUAAUUUUUUUUCAAAAGAAAAACAGUUGUUUUUAAUGGAAAAACCUAGGUGUAGCUGAUAUCUGUGUUAGUCAUAAUUCUUGGAUGAAAACAACAGAAAUUUACCCCGACCGAUAAGCAGAAAGCAGUUUUUAAAUAAGGCUACCACAGAACCAAAGAACAAGGUCCAAAAAAUGAGCAGUAAAUGGAAUGCUGGGCACCCUGGAGCACAGCCAAGAGGACACUAUAGGAUACUCUGCAGAGACCUCCACCAGAGAAGUCAUCUCUAAGCGGUGGACAGCCCGCCACACCAACCCUACUGCUGCAAAUGCAUCCUGCAUUUUUGUGUCACUCCCUUAAGGUUUGAAGCCCUUAGCAAGAAUAUUUGCAGAUGGCCCAGCUGUCAGAGAAAAAGAUUAUGUGCCCCCUUUAGUUUCCACAGUGGGAUAUGUAACCCUGCCUCCUAGCUAUUCUAGGAUUCUGCCCAAAGAGUGUUCUGAUGCUAGGAGACCAAAGCAAAAAAUUCCACAAAAGUGAUCUAAUUCAGUAUCACUGUGAAAGUUUUCUAAUGAUCCCUAUUACCCCCACCUCAGCUUCUCUCCUGAUUGCUACUACUUACUAGAGAGACUACACCACUUACCUAGGAACAACCUAAAGCAGAGCUAAUAUAUGGAAUCCUAAUGUUUUUUUGAAGGUAUCCCUUUCCCAGUCCUAUGUCAGAAUAAACAAUAUAUCGGUGUGAAUGAAAUACUUAUCAAAGCAGAGCUGUUGAUAACCAUAAGACUUUGAGGAAAAUAUCCCCAGUAAAGAUAUUUGAUCUUAAAUUGAAAAUAAUUUAGUCUUAAGGGGUAAUCAAAAGAUAGGAAUAACCAACUUGUUAUAUUUCAUGCAUAAAACAUAAAUAUCAAGUGACGUAUUACUGAAAAUGAGUUCCUAUGUGCUACUCUAAGUACACAAUUCAGGCUCAAAUGCAGAACUCGGCUAAAGUGUAUGAGAUUUACAGUCAAAGUCUUUGGAAGUAGAUGAGUAGUCCUAGGCUAAGUAAGAGUUACAGGAAGGAUGCAGUCACUUUAGGACCAUUUUGAAGAAAAAAUACUGAUAGUAAAAGAAAUUCAGGACAACAAACACAUAAAAGAGGAACAUAUUCCUAGAAACAAAGAUGAAGGUCAUCAAGGAUAUGCUUAUAGAAAACAUAUCAAUACUGGAAUAGUUUCCUCUCUCCCACCAUUUCAGGUCAGUUAGCUGAGAUUGCUUUUCAGCUAGAAAAAAAAAAUCAUAUCCUUUCAAGGACUCUAAACAAUGUUAUAGGAGUUCAACAGUUUUAUGUUUCUAUUAAAGCAUGGAAUAACUGUUACAUGAAUAGAAGUUCUUUUUAAGUAAGUGCCCAUAACUACUUUCCAGAGGAGCAGUGCUAAAGAUUCUAUUCAUUGAUAUACAAAAUGUUCUUUAUCUUAUGGAGUAGAAUUUAACUGUUUUCUCAGAUUAUUUAAUGCAAAUUAUGUCAGACUGCUAAUUGUUCAACAAAAUCCAUUUCCUCUUCUUCCUGAACACAAAGUUUGGCAGUGCUUCCCAGUUGCCAAUGCAGUUACAUGUGUUCAUGUGACUGAGUCCUAGCAAGUAGAGUGUGAGUAAAAAUGUGUUGCACUUCAAGGCCCUAAAUCACCCAUGCUUGCCAGUUGAGAUGGAUAUGACAGAAUGACCUUAGAAAUCAUGAGGUGGAAACUCUCUCAGCCUGUGUCCCUUAGGAGAGCCAUCUCACCAGCUUAUUAACGUAUCCAUCAAGAGAGCAACUGUGACCAAGACAGAAACUUUCAUGGUGCUGUGCCAUUACACACUUGGUCUAUUUGUUACUGUAGCUUCUGCUAACUAAUACAAUAAUAAACUUAUUUAUUUAACCUUUGUUUUCCUUCCAUUUGCAAUCUUAUGGAUAAAUUGUAAAUUUGAAUACUGUUGAAUCUGCAAUGUAUUGCUUUGAAUUACAGGCUUAAAGCAUCACAAAACAAAAUAUAAUCUAAUGAAAAUAUUAAAUAACACAUACUUAAUGAAGACAGUUCUAAGGGAGUCUAUAGAAAUGACAUGUAAAUAUAGCUACCAUAAAAUUAGUGCUUGGCUCAUAGAAGUAUAAAAUAAAUGUCUAUUAUCUUAUUAAUAAAUGAUUCCUCCUAAUGAGUUCUAGACUAACAAUUUAGUAGCUUGGUUGCUUGUUGGACAUUUCUAAAUAGCUGUCCUGCAGGGACAUCCACAUGAUAUUUCCGAAACUAAUCUUCCUUACCAGCCUCUGCUCACUCUGCCUCCACCAGACUAUGAUCCUCCCAAUUUCCCUCUUUUUAUCAGUGGCACCCUUAAAAUUGUCCUUCAUUGACUCCCAUAGCCAAAUGGUUGUUCCUAAUUUUUAAAACUUGUUCUUUUUUAGACAUACAUGACAGUAGAGCAUAUUUUGACAUAGUACACAUACAUGGUGCAUAAAUUAUUCUAAUUAAGAUCCCAUUCUUGUGAUUAUACAGGAAGUGGAGUUUCACUGGUGAUGUAUUCAUAUAUAAACAGAGAAAAGUGAUGUCCAAUUCAAUCUACUGUAUUUCCUAUUCCCAUUGUCCCCUUCCUUCCUUCCCCUUUGUCUAAUCCAAUGAACUUCUAUUCUUCUUCUAAUUUCCCUCCCAGUAUCUUUCCUCCUUUCAGCCCCCUUUUUACCACUGUAUCUAAGACUAUUCACAUUAUUUCCAAUCUCCCCCAUGUCCAAAUCCCUACCCUGUGCUAGUAGUUCCUAGGUUUCUGGUUUUCUCACCUGUGGUAUUUCAGAAAAGGGUUUGAGGACCAAUAUGGGAUUGCCAACUUUAAAUUUUGCCAGACAAAAACAUUCUUUAAAAAAAAAAAAUCUAUGACAGAUUGGACACAGUGGCACAUGCCUGUAAAUCCCAGCUACUUAGGAGGUUGAAGGCAGGAGGAUCACAAGUAUCACUCAUUUUUCUAUAGACAUUUUAAGGUUUUUAUUUGUUUAUUUUUCAGUGUUAGGAAUCAAACCUAACACUGUGUGUGUGCUGGGCAGGUCUCCUGUGUGCUGGGCAGGCACUCGACAGCUGAGUCACACCCUAACCUUAUAUUUUUUUCUGUGGACUAUUUAAACAAUGGUAAUAAUGUGUAAGGUACUCAACUUCAGAAUACAGGACAAUCUUUUAGAUUAAAUAAACAAUUUUACAAGAACUUAUUACAUUGUCCAAGAUCAGGUGAUUGGAAGCUCUCAUGUGGCAUUGACCCUCAGGUCUCAAUAUUUUCUCUCACAGCCAGAUGGAUACUCCUGAGCUCCAGUUACAGUGCUUUUCUGAUCAACAAUAGGUCCCCUCUGGCUUAUUCUCCAUCUGGCAUUAAGUUCCCAAAAGGGAGACCCCACACAAUAAUUGCUCUGCUUUGAAUGUGUCUCCCCAAAGUUCAUGUGUUGGAAACAAUCCCCAAAUUAAUGUGUUUAUGGGGACCCAUGGGAAGAUGGGAUCUUUGGGUUGUUAUUAGGAUUAGAUGAGGUCAUCAGGGUAGGGCCCCUUGAUUGGAUUAGUGGCUUUAUAAAAGAGGGAGAGAGGCCCUAGCUACCAUGCUAGCUCUUUCUUAUCAUGUAGUGUCCUCUGCCAUCUUAUGAUGCAGUGAGAAGUCCCCACAGACCCUGUGUAGUUGCCAGAAUUAUGUUUUGGACUUCCUGGCCUCCAGAACCAUGAGCUAAAUAAACUUUCAUUCUUUGAAAAUCACCAAGUCUUGGGUAUUUUAUUACAGACACAAAAAACAGACUGACACUACCUUCCCAAUAUUAUUUCUAAUUUCCUGGCAAACUGGGCUUCUAUUAUUCUAUUUCCUUUUCUUUGACUAUGUGAUUCUUCUAUCUUGUACACUCUAUCCUUUUGUUUCUCCCAAUAGUCAAAAUUCUACCUAAAAUUUAAGACCAAAUUUGAUGCCACUGCCUUCUUGAAAACUUUGAUUCAUUCUACUCACACAAAUAAAAUCAUCCCUCUCCUUGAACUUUCCUAACACUGUAGUGGAGCAAGUGGCUGCUUACUUUCAUGAUUAUGUUUAUUUACCCCUCCCACAAAAUUAAAAUAAAUCCUUGAAUAUAAGAACAAUGAUU
rnacentral:lncRNA from 1 species